AUAAUGGGUCAGCGACUUAUAUUCUGUAGCAAGGUUAACCGAAUAGGGGAGCCGGAGGGAAACCGAGUCUUAACCGGGCGUUAAGUUGCAGGGUAUAGACCCGAAACCCGGUGAUCUAGCCAUGGGCAGGUUGAAGGUUGGGUAACACUAACUGGAGGACCGAACCGACUAAUGUUGAAAAAUUAGCGGAUGACCUGUGGCUGGGGGUGAAAGGCCAAUCAAACCGGGAGAUAGCUGGUUCUCCCCGAAAGCUAUUUAGGUAGCGCCUCGUGAAUUCAUCUCCGGGGGUAGAGCACUGUUUCGGCUAGGGGGCCAUCCCGGCUUACCAACCCGAUGCAAACUGCGAAUACCGGAGAAUGUUAUCACGGGAGACACACGGCGGGUGCUAACGUCCGUCGUGAAGAGGGAAACAACCCAGACCGCCAGCUAAGGUCCCAAAGUCAUGGUUAAGUGGGAAACGAUGUGGGAAGGCCCAGACAGCCAGGAUGUUGGCUUAGAAGCAGCCAUCAUUUAAAGAAAGCGUAAUAGCUCACUGGUCGAGUCGGCCUGCGCG
rnacentral:rRNA from 1 species